rnacentral:rRNA from 2 species
UACGGAGGGUGCAAGCGUUAUCCGGAUUCACUGGGUUUAAAGGGUGCGUAGGCGGGUAUGUAAGUCAGUGGUGAAAUCCCCGAGCUUAACUCGGGAACUGCCAUUGAUACUAUAUAUCUUGAAUGUUCUGGAGGUAUGCGGAAUAUGUCAUGUAGCGGUGAAAUGCUUAGAGAUGACAUAGAACACCUAUUGCGAAGGCAGCAUGCUACGGAAAUAUUGACGCUGAGGCACGAAAGUGUGGGGAUCAAACAGG